rnacentral:rRNA from 1 species
GUAGGUGGCAAGCGUUGUCCGGAAUUAUUGGGCGUAAAGCGCGCGCAGGCGGUUCUUUAAGUCUGAUGUGAAAGCCCACGGGCUCAACCGUGGAGGGUCAUUGGAAACUGGAGAACUUGAGUACAGAAGAGGAAAGCGGAAUUCCACGUGUAGCGGUGAAAUGCGUAGAGAUGUGGAGGAACACCAGUGGCGAAGGCGGCUUUCUGGUCUGUAACUGACGCUGAGGCGCGAAAGCGUGGGGAGCAAACAGGAUUAGAUACCCUGGUAGUCCACGCCGUAAACGAUGAGUGCUAAGUGUUAGGGGGUUACCGCCCCUUAGUGCUGCAGCUAACGCAUUAAGCACUCCGCCUGGGGAGUACGGCCGCAAGGCUG